rnacentral:rRNA from 1 species
UCUGGGAAACUGCCUGAUGGAGGGGGAUAACUACUGGAAACGGUGGCUAAUACCGCAUAACGUCGCAAGACCAAAGAGGGGGACCUUCGGGCCUCUUGCCAUCAGAUGUGCCCAGAUGGGAUUAGCUAGUUGGUGAGGUAACGGCUCACCAAGGCGACGAUCCCUAGCUGGUCUGAGAGGAUGACCAGCCACACUGGAACUGAGACACGGUCCAGACUCCUACGGGAGGCAGCAGUGGGGAAUAUUGCACAAUGGGCGCAAGCCUGAUGCAGCCAUGCCGCGUGUAUGAAGAAGGCCUUCGGGUUGUAAAGUACUUUCAGCGGGGAGGAAGGUGUUGUGGUUAAUAACCGCAGCAAUUGACGUUACCCGCAGAAGAAGCACCGGCUAACUCCGUGCCAGCAGCCGCGGUAAUACGGAGGGUG